AGAUAAUCAAUGAACUAAAUCAAACAAAAUGAAAACAUAAUCACCAAGAUAUUCCUCUUACGAGUAAAUAAACUAAUGAAUAAAGUUGCAAUAAUCCAAAACUCCAUAAAUGAAUUCAAGCAUGAACUAAAGUUAAAAUCCAAAAUAUCUAUCAAAAUAUCAUAUCCUUCAAACACUAAGGGAAAUUACUCUAUAAUCAUAGAGGAAGUCAUCACAAUUAUAAUUGAUGAAUAAAAAAGAAUUAAUCUAACUUUACAUUCCUAACUCUCAAACUGAAUGAAUGGAAAGAUAAUGAAAUCUCGUGCCUUGUAGCCUCUAAUGCUCUCCAAAGCUUCCAAGGUCAAAAUUCCAUUCAAAAAUAUUAUUUUGGUGUAUUUAUAUCCUAAAGGAGUGGGGGCAGACAAAAUUACCUUUUCUAGGUCAUAACAGGACAAAUACUCUGAGAAAUUGCACAGGCACACCGCGCCAUGCACCUCUUCAUGUGAGGCACUAGUGAAGAAGUUCAAAGAGCAUGUUCUGAUAGGCACUAGCAGAAAUGUAUUGCUGCGCCGCCCCAUGCGGCGUGGCAGUGAAGAUUUUCUAGAGUGUUUCGCUCGUUUCUCUUUUUGAAAUCCAGACUUGGCUCCCAACCCUCGAACGUGAUCCCGGUUUAAUCUCUUGGGCUUUUACUCAAACUUCAAAGCUCCAAUUUGUUCAAUUUAGCACCCGAAUAUCCUUUUAACUCGAAAUCACUUCCUGCAAGGAAUAAUACACAUAAUAAGUUCAAUACACUAAUAUUUAUGCUCAAAAACAAGUAAAAUACAGUAAUUAGAGUGCAAACUAGGAUUAAAACAUAUGUUUCUAGCCUAUCAUCACUCUAAAGUAGUCAUCUACAAUGGUAAGGAACUAUCUUGCCCCUGUUGUAGUGGGGGAAUGGUAAGGUCCCUAGGUAUCAAUGUGAAAGAAUUGAAAAGAGGCAGUAGAAUGAGCAAUAUUAUCAGGGAAAGGGAGUCCAUUUUGUCUAGCUAAGAGGCAUAUAGAACAUGGAAAGGAUUGCUUGGAAGAAAGAGAACAACUAAGAACAUGUAUAUAUUUCAUUCUGGAAAAUGAAACAUGCCCAAGUCUAAAGUGCAAAAUCACAUCUAUUUUAUUCAAAUUUGCAUGAGCAGAAUUACAAUAGGGAAUCGUGGAAGGGAUAAUAUCAUACUCGGGCUUAUUAACACUAACAGAAACAGUAACAUCAGAAAUACAACUAGCAAGAUAAGCAACUAAUGAACUAGAAAAACAUGAAGAAGAAUAAUUAGGAGGGGAAUCUCCACUUUGUAUAAACCAUGGCCCUAUCUACCAAGCACAAGAGGCUUCUUCAGUGAAAGGCCCUGUAAAUAACAUAAAGUUCUAGAGAAUUGAGAUAAGCCAUCAAACUUUGAAACCAAAUGGUAAAUAGAGAUGAGUUUGUAUUGGAAAAUAGGGACAUAAAGCACAUUGUGCAAGGUAAAGUUAGGAAAUAAAUUUAAAGGCCCACAAUUGGUUGGUUCAACCUUAUAACCAUUAGGUAAGGAAACAAGGCAGAGAAUAGGGAUAGGUUAAAUAUUAAAGAGAAGUGACUUCUAAGAAUCCAUAUGAUCAAAAACUCCAUAAUUUAUAAUCCAAACAAAACUAACUACUUGUGAAAACAAACAUGGUUUAAGUAAAACAUUGUGUGUGGCUUCUCUACCAGCAAAGUGAGCAGAAGCCAUGAGAGAAUGAGAGGAAUCGGGAUUGAGAUGAGAAUGUUAGAGAAGCUGCAUUAGUUGAACAUAUUAGUAUUGAGUGAUGCCAGAAAUUCUUAGGUCUGUUCAGAAGGGGUACCUGAGCAGGAGAGCUAUCUAACCUAGAAGGCACUGAUUGUAAACCAGAAGAAUCAGCUACUACAUAGGCUGUAGCUUUUCGAGGACCACCACCCUUGGUGAACAUGAAGUUUUUUGGAAAACCAUGAAGUUUAAAGCACUUCUCAAUACUAUGUCUCGGUUUCUUGCAAUACUUAAGUGACAACAGAUUUGUGAGAAGUAAAAGCUACCUUGGUAAGGUAUGACUAUUUGGAAACCCCAGUGUGGAAGGAAGCAUGGUGUGAAGAGCGUUGAGAAGUUGCAGACAUGUGUCUUUGUCUCUCAUCACUUAAGAGAAUACUGUAAAUAGUAUCCAUGGAGGGAACAUGCUUUAUCAUGAGAAUAUUACUCCUGACUUGGACAUAAACUUCAUUGAGACCCGUAAGAAACAGAUAUAUUCGUUAUUCUUCUUCAGGCUUAGCAUUCCCACAAGAAGUACACCCAUUAAGGGAGUUCACAGUGAUUGAAGCCAACAUAUCCGAGGAUGCUUAAUCUUGUUAAAGUAAGAGGCUAUAUCAAGUACACCCUGUGAAACAUGUGCCAAAUUCUUUUUUAAUUCAAAGACCCUAGCCACAUCAGCUUACCCAUACCAAGCUUCUAAUUCCCUCCAAAUGUCUUUUGCAAAUUCAGAAUAAAGAACAUUCUGGUGAAUCUCUCUAGUGACAGAAUUAGCAAGCCAUGCAACAACCAGAUCAUUGCAUCGUUGCUGUUGGCGAAAUAAAAGGGAAUCCUUACAUGGCUUUUCAUAAGUUCCAUGGAUGAAAUCUAAGUUUUUUCCUAAAGGAUAAAAUAACUAAUAUGGAUCUAUGCCAACGUCUGUAGGAUUACUUAUCAAAUCGACCAGUAACUAGCGAUGACCCUAACAAGUCUGAAAGAUUGAACAAUAAAGGAUGGAAACGGUGUGUGUAGUAAUCAGGGUGAACGGGAAGAUGUAUACUUGAAGCAAUGUGAGUUAAAUUGUCACCAGUAGGCAGAGAAGAAGUAGUAGAUGUAACAAUCAUGAUUGAACGAAAGAAAUAGUAACAAGUCAAGUUUAUCAAAUCAACAGAGAAACACUAUGCAAAAACUAAGUAAAAAAUAAUUGUACCAAUCCUCGUCGCAACCGGAGAGGUACGACCUUAAAAGGAAUACAGUCAUGAAGUAAAAGCACCAGUGAGCUUCACUAACAGCAAACCCUAUAUCCACGAUGAACUUGUAAAAGUACCAAAUUUUCACGGCAAAUCACCUAAAGAAACACAAAAUGAUUACCCUCAACAAAAUUGCAUAGAGAAUACGAAAUAAAUUGCCGGAACUAACCAAAUGUGCCGAAAAAUUACAAUUCUAGCGAAAUUGAAUGGGGUAACAUCAGUGGAAAGAGCAGAUCCCAUUCUAUGAUAUCCCUCGCUUUGAUACCAUGUUAAUGGCGAAAAUCAAAGUAUUUUGUACAAAAUUGUUCUAGGGUUUGAUGUGAGAUUGAGAGAGAAGAGAGAGAUAUAAUUGAUAUUUCGGUUGAGUUUUCUUUAUCUAUUACAAAAAUAGAAUAGUCUAGAACUAUAAAAUGAAUUACAUGGCACGGAAAAACUGUAUGUAGGCUUUUAGCCCGUGUAAAAAUUAUUAUAAUGCGCCAAUUAACGAGAAUGGGCCUUAAUACUCCAACAAAUAAAUCAAUAAGCUAUCAACAUAUAUUGUAACACCAUAUCACCAUGUGAAUCGUAACUGUCUGGUUUGAACUUGCUCGCAAUGUCAGUUCCAAUCUCGGAUAAAAUAGUAAGGGUGGUAAGGUUAAUAAUCAACGUAAAAUUAGUCAUUUCAUAAUGAAUCUUAGGAUACA
rnacentral:lncRNA from 1 species